rnacentral:rRNA from 1 species
AGUGUACGCUGGCGGUAGGCCUAACACAUGCAAGUCGAACGGCAGCACAGUAAGAGCUUGCUCUUACGGGUGGCGAGUGGCGGACGGGUGAGGAAUACAUCGGAAUCUACUUUUUCGUGGGGGAUAACGUAGGGAAACUUACGCUAAUACCGCAUACGACCUACGGGUGAAAGCAGGGGAUCUUCGGACCUUGCGCGAUUGAAUGAGCCGAUGUCGGAUUGGCUAGUUGGCGGGGUAAAGGCCCACCAAGGCGACGAUCCGUAGCUGGUCUGAGAGGAUGAUCAGCCACACUGGAACUGAGACACGGUCCAGACUCCUACGGGAGGCAGCAGUGGGGAAUAUUGGACAAUGGGCGCAAGCCUGAUCCAGCCAUACCGCGUGGGUGAAGAAGGCCUUCGGGUUGUAAAGCCCUUUUGUUGGGAAAGAAAAGCAGCAGGUUAAUACCCCGCUGUUCUGACGGUACCCAAAGAAUAAGCACCGGCUAACUUCGUG